AUACCCGCUGAACUUAAGCAUAUCAU
rnacentral:rRNA from 1 species